ACAAAUAAGAUUUCCUAUGCCUUGGAGAAACCAGCCCAUCACCUUCUCUGAUCGACGAUCGACGAUUUCCUCUAAUCGCUGGUUCCUCUCUCUUUCUCCGGAAGCUCUUCUUCUCUCUCACUCGGCCUCGCGGUGGUUCAUGCCCUUUUUUCUCUCACGAUUUGUCAGAAACCCUAAUAAGUUUUGUCCUUGAUUUGCUUUAUUUGAUUGGGGAUCUUUGGGAAUUGAUGUAAUGUGUGCAGGUUCUUGUUGGUGAUUAUCGGGCUGUUUGUAUUCCGCUUGUUGAGGUUGUGGCCAUCAAGAUAUUUGAUUCUGAGAGGAAUAAUAGUGAUUUGAUUUCUGAAAGAGUUGUAAACCUGGAAGCACUACAAAAGAUCGCUGGUAGUGGUCAGCUUGAUUGGAGAGUUCUGAGCUCUAGUCUGGAAGAAAAAAUACAUAGUCCCUGAAGAAGGUAAAAAGUGAGUUCUUGCUACUAUUAGAGAUGAUUGGAGAGUAUAUAAGUGCAGGGUGAAAAAAGAACAUUACUAUAAGUACAAAACUGAUAAGUUUAGAAUAUUGAAUCGCCCACAACAUAUCGGAGAAGAUAAAUUUAAAGAACUUUUGAACUAUUGGAAUUCAACAAAUGGAAAGAGAAUCACCGAAAUAAAUGCAAAUAAUCUAAAAAGACAAAUUAAUAUGCAUACCGCGGGCAAAAAGAGUUUUGCUAGGAUAAGGAAAAAAAUGUAAGAUACAAAUGAAAACAAUGGGGUACCAACUAAUGCUGCUCUUUUUAUUGAAACUCGAGAAAGACAACCGAACAAGACUUACAAGGAAUCCUUUGAUGAUACCAGCGACAAGAUUUCUCAUAUGCAAGUUGUCCCGUCACAACAAAAUAGUGAAAACCAAUUUGUUGAUGCAUUUUCUGUGGUGAUGGGAGGGACAUGACCUGGUCGUGCUAUGUUGCAUGGGAGGAGUGUUACACUAACAGAUUUGAAAGGAAAAGGAGUUAGUGGUGAAUCUUCCGUAAAAGUUUCUCAAAAUUUUAUUAAAGACAUGAAGGAACAGAUGAGAGAAGAAAUGAGAGAAGAAAUGAAAAAAGAAAUGAGAAAAGAAAUGGAAGAACAACUGGCAAAUUAUAAAUCAUCUGUGCAACAACAAUUUCUUUUUAUGAUGUCACAGCUCCAAGGCUUGGUUCCAGGAAUGAACAUCAACCCAGUUCCUGCAUUUAAUUUGAAUUUUGGCUCCCCAGGAGAUGCUAAUAGUGUACCAACUCAAGUAAUACGUGCACAUAAUGUCUCCUCUGCUAGUAGCCACGAACCUCAGGGAUAAUGAAGUUAUACUUUCAGUUGGUUUCAUCCCAGACUAUUGAAGAUGAUUUGUUUUGUAUUAACUUGAAAAUUGUUUUGUAUUAACUAGUUUUCUCAUUGAAUUUUUAUGUUAUUGAAUGUUUUUGUCAAUUUUAAUGGGAUGUUGUUGGCUCUAAAUGUU